rnacentral:lncRNA from 1 species
UUGUUCAGUCUUCUCAUCUCCUGGCCAGGGUUGGAAUGGAGGCUGAGGGCGGCCUGAGCAGUGCUGGUGCCGGCUCUCCCCACUCGUAGCCCCUUCUAAAGAAAACACGUCUGAGCCCUCAUGGUGAAGAACCAAACCCAACGAAAGUUGGAUCUUUUUCGGAGAGGGGCCGGGGGUGCCGAGCCCGGCGACUCCGUCCGCGGAGCGCUCGACAGCGGCGGAGCGCUCGCCGCGGCUGGGACUUGACCUGCAGAGGGCAAUAGUUGGACGCAAAUGCCAACAAAGGCAGCGGGGCUCGCUGGCUCGGCGCCGCGGCCGGGACCCGAGAAUGCUGUGUAGGUAGGCAGCAGUGCUUAAUUAAUGUAUAUUGAAACAAAAGAUCGGGUAAAGUGUUUGGUUUGUCUUUAGGCUACGUUUUUAAGGCUAAUCUUAAUUCAUAACUGUUAGACUUCUUUAAAGAUAUUAACACAAACUUCCAGGAAAACCAUGGGGUUGACUCCACAAUUACCCCAAAUGAUAAUUGUUUACCGGAACGUUUACAUUCAGCUGCUUGGAUUCGUAUUUUUUGCGUUAUUAUUCUUUGCGACUCAGACAGCAAAGAUGGAAACGAAGGGGAACUUUCCUAAUUGUUGUAGCGAUUGUCAGGGCGACCGCGCAGACUUUGUGGGAGGAGGCGGCAGGCGCNGGAGUGCGCUCAAUCUGUACUUUGAAGCCUUUUUCGCCUUAGGUUUUGAUGGCUCUAGGAGGCCUGACAGAGGAGUGCCUCUGCUGAGAUCGGAGCCUUUGCUAUUUUUUUCCUUUGAUUUUUUUUCCCCCUCUCCAUCGCCUUCCUUUCCGCCCUCCCUCCUCUCGGUAGCACAUCGAGUCAGUGAAUCUGUUGCUGCGUAUGACAUCUCUUGCAAGCUCCCAGAGAGAAUUGAUGGAGCAUACAGCUAGGGAAUAGGAUACCAGAGAAGCACAGAGAAAGAAUCCAGGCAAUCACCAGGAUGGGAAGGUUCAGCGUCCACUGGAUAUGGGACAAGAUCGCUUGGCAACCCUUGUGGAUUCUCCUUCUUCUGGAGGCGAAUUAUAGUUAUGGAUUUAUUGUCCCGGUGCAGCACUUCCACCAGCAGCAGCAACAGCAGCAGCUUUCUGACUCUCUUCGGUGACGGGUAUUCUUGGGUGGAUAAUACGGAUUACGUUGUUAUUGCUUAAGAAUACGCGUAGUCGAGGAGAGUACCGGCGGCGGGCAGGCAGGCAGGCAGCGCGACCGCCCCCAGCCCACCAGCUGGCUCCUCACCUCCUCUAGUUGCCAAG